ensembl:lncRNA
GAACGCUGCAUGUAGUCAACCACUGUUGCCAACACACCGGAUUAUUAAUAAUAUUAUUAAUAUACAUUUAUUAACUUUUCUUCCCUGGUUUAUGUUUGUGUAACGAGACGUUAGACGGAUCAUUACAGCGAUAGGCGGGUGGGUGUCACGUGGGCGCCCCACGUGGGCGGGGCAACCUGUAGCUUACGGCCUCAGUCUGCCGAUCGCUGUCGAGCCGGUAAGUUGGUCCCUCGCAUGCUCCCUAGCUAACAUGCUAAUGAACAGUUAGCUCACAUUGUUUAUUCUGGUAAACCGCUAUAAAAGCUGGAUGACACGAGGUGUCCUUUCCGAGGACACUAACCCCUCUAUGUUCAUCGAGUAAGUCAUGUUGAUAUGUUUAUUAGUUUUGUAAAGUUAGUCUGCCGCACGCUGUCUAAAUGGUAGAAAAACUUGCUGCCAUAGUAAAAUGAACUAUGAAACGGUAAAAUGAACUAUGAAACGGUAAAGCGAACUGAAACGGUAAAGCGAACUAUGAAACGGUAAAGCGAACUAUGAAACGAUAAAGCGAACUAUGAAACGGUAAAGCAAACUAUGAAACGGUAACUAUGAAACGGUAAAGCGAACUAUGAAACGGUAAAGCGAACUAUGAAACGGUAAAGCGAACUAUGAAACGGUAACUAUGAAACGGUAAAGCAAACUAUGAAAAAAUGAACUAUGAAACGGUAAAAUGAACUAUGAAACGCGAACUAUGAAACGAUAAAGCGAACUAUGAAACGGUAAAGCAAACUAUGAAACGGUAACUAUGAAACGGUAAAGCGAACUAUGAAACGGUAAAGCAAACUAUGAAACGGUAACUAUGAAACGGUAAAGCGAACUAUGAAACGGUAAAGCGAACUAUGAAACGAUAAAGCGAACUAUGAAACGGUAAAGCAAACUAUGAAACGGUAAAGCAAACUAUGAAACGGUAACUAUGAAACGGUAAAGCGAACUAUGAAACGGUAACUAUGAAACGGUAAAGCGAACUAUGAAACGGUAAAGCAAACUAUGUAACGGUAACUAUGGAACACUAAAGCAAGCUAUGAAAAAAUGAACUAUGAAACCGUA